GCUUGCUCUCUGAUUCAGCGGCGGACGGGUGAGUAAUGCCUAGGAAUCUGCCUGAUAGUGGGGGACAACGUUUCGAAAGGAACGCUAAUACCGCAUACGUCCUACGGGAGAAAGCAGGGGACCUUCGGGCCUUGCGCUAUCAGAUGAGCCUAGGUCGGAUUAGCUAGUUGGUGAGGUAACGGCUCACCAAGGCGACGAUCCGUAACUGGUCUGAGAGGAUGAUCAGUCACACUGGAACUGAGACACGGUCCAGACUCCUACGGGAGGCAGCAGUGGGGAAUAUUGGACAAUGGGCGAAAGCCUGAUCCAGCCAUGCCGCGUGUGUGAAGAAGGUCUUCGGAUUGUAAAGCACUUUAAGUUGGGAGGAAGGGCAUUAACCUAAUACGUUAGUGUUUUGACGUUACCGACAGAAUAAGCACCGGCUAACUUCGUGCCAGCAGCCGCGGUAAUACGAAGGGUGCAAGCGUUAAUCGGAAUUACUGGGCGUAAAGCGCGCGUAGGUGGUUUGUUAAGUUGAAUGUGAAAGCCCCGGGCUCAACCUGGGAACUGCAUCCAAAACUGGCAAGCUAGAGUAUGGCAGAGGGUGGUGGAAUUUCCUGUGUAGCGGUGAAAUGCGUAGAUAUAGGAAGGAACACCAGUGGCGAAGGCGACCACCUGGGCUAAUACUGACACUGAGGUGCGAAAGCGUGGGGAGCAAACAGGAUUAGAUACCCUGGUAGUCCACGCCG
rnacentral:rRNA from 1 species